rnacentral:tRNA from 1 species
UGCCGGCGUAGAGCAGCCCGGUAGCUCGCCAGCCUCAUAAGCUGGAGGUCGCAGGUUCGAAUCCUGUCGCCGCAACCA